UGGCGGCCGCGGGAAUUCGAUUAGAGUUUGAUCCUGGCUCAGAUUGAACGCUGGCGGCAUGCCUUACACAUGCAAGUCGAACGGCAGCACGGGAGCAAUCCUGGUGGCGAGUGGCGAACGGGUGAGUAAAGCAUCGGAACGUGCCCAGUCGUGGGGGAUAACGUAGCGAAAGCUACGCUAAUACCGCAUACGAUCUGUGGAUGAAAGCGGGGGACCGUAAGGCCUCGCGCGAUUGGAGCGGCCGAUGUCAGAUUAGGUAGUUGGUGGGGUAAAGGCUCACCAAGCCGACGAUCUGUAGCUGGUCUGAGAGGACGACCAGCCACACUGGGACUGAGACACGGCCCAGACUCCUACGGGAGGCAGCAGUGGGGAAUUUUGGACAAUGGGCGAAAGCCUGAUCCAGCAAUGCCGCGUGCAGGAAGAAGGCCUUCGGGUUGUAAACUGCUUUUGUACGGAACGAAAAGGCUCUUUCUAAUAAAGAGGGCCCAUGACGGUACCGUAAGAAUAAGCACCGGCUAACUACGUGCCAGCAGCCGCGGUAAUACGUAGGGUGCGAGCGUUAAUCGGAAUUACUGGGCGUAAAGCGUGCGCAGGCGGUUCUAUAAGACAGAUGUGAAAUCCCCGGGCUCAACCUGGGAAUGGCAUUUGUGACUGUAGAGCUAGAGUACGGUAGAGGGGGAUGGAAAUUCC
rnacentral:rRNA from 1 species